rnacentral:rRNA from 1 species
AGUGAACGCUGGCGGUAGGCCUAACACAUGCAAGUCGAACGGCAGCACAGUAAGAGCUUGCUCUUACGGGUGGCGAGUGGCGGACGGGUGAGGAAUACAUCGGAAUCUACUUUUUCGUGGGGGAUAACGUAGGGAAACUUACGCUAAUACCGCAUACGACCUACGGGUGAAAGCAGGGGAUCUUCGGGCCUUGCGCGAUUGAAUGAGCCGAUGUCGGAUUAGCUAGUUGGCGGGGUAAAGGCCCACCAAGGCGACGAUCCGUAGCUGGUCUGAGAGGAUGAUCAGCCACACUGGAACUGAGACACGGUCCAGACUACUACGGGAGGCAGCAGUGGGGAAUAUUGGACAAUGGGCGCAAGCCUGAUCCAGCCAUACCGCGUGGGUGAAGAAGGCCUUCGGGUUGUAAAGCCCUUUUGUUGGGAAAGAAGAGCAGCAGGUUAAUACCCCGCUGUUCUGACGGUACCCAAAGAAUAAGCACCGGCUAACUUCGUG